UAGAAAUUGAAAAUGAAUUUUGAAAAAAUGAUUUGAUUUUGAAAAUUGAAAAAGGAAGAUGAUAAAACUGGAAUUGAACAAGGUCUGAAAUGAUACCUGAGAAAUGAGAACAGAAAACACAAAAUUACCGAAUUGAAACAGGAAAGAAAUCCAAGCACUGAGAACGAUUCAGAAGAGAGAGAAAUUGAAACUCACAAAUGGAAAAUAUUUUUCCGGUGAUUUCUAAACUGCCUGUCCCACUCCUUAUAUACCUUUUUAAUCUGUUAUAUUUGUUUUCAAUUUAAUUGGAUCCAUUGUUUUCAGGUAUCGGAUCCAGGUCGGGUAAUCCAAAUUUUAAAUAUUCUGAAUUAGGCGGUUCAACCUUCAAUUGGGUGACUGCUGCUCCUUCAUGUUUCACAUCCUCCCUCAAAUCUGGAGGGAUUCUUCCCGCAAGAUUUGAAUUAGGCGGCUCUGAUGGUGGCGACUGCACUGGGACUAGCUUGUGGCGAUGUCGCGGGAAGGCAUCGGUACCUAGUACCUUGAUGAAUCCAUCCGCGGGCUGCAAGCUUGUAGGUACAUAUUCGAUCUUAAGUACCCAUUUGUUUAUUAAUUCUCUUACAAAGUAGUAUGAUAUUUCCAUAUGUCUUGAGCGUGAUGUAAUUGUAGGAUUUUUGGCCAUGAAUAUUGCGGAUCGGCUAUCACAUAGUAGAGUUGGGGGUGAUAAUAGUUUGAUCCCCAAUUCUCUAAAUAAAUAACAAUACCAUCUAACCUCUGAUGUAACACGGGCCAUGGCCUUGAAUUCUGCCUCUGAACUUGAGUUCGAGACUGUCGGUUGCUUUUUAGCAGACCAUAACAGUAGGUUAUUUCCAUACCAAACACUUAUCCAGUGAUGGAUCUUCUGUCUGGUGAUCCUCCCCAAUCAGUCUUUAUAGGCUAUUAGAUUCAUGGUAUCCCCUGAUCCUUUAGUUCUCAAUCCCAAGCUUGUUGUCCCUUGCAAAUAUCUGAAAAUCCUAUUAACUGCCAAUAAGUGCCCUUCUUUAGGAUUUUAGAGAAACUGACACACCUGAUUGAUUGCAAAGAAUAGAUCAGGUCUAGUGAGGGACAGAUACUACAAACUCCCAACUAUACUUUUAUAUCCUGUGAUAUCUUCCAAAGGGUCCCCCAUAUCAUGAUGUAAUUUUGUUGAUAAGGUCAUAGGUGUUCUUACUGAAUUUUACUAAUUAUAGCCAAACCUUUUCAAUAUUUCUCUCACAUGAUUCUCCUGGGACAACACCACAUUCUCACCUUGAUAUAUGCACUGAAUACCUAAGAAAAAACUGAGCUUAUGUGGGGACCAAGGUGGUUUUGGAUAGAUAUUGGAUUAUAUAUUUACACUGGAUUUCUGGUGCGGUUCGCCGCACCGGAAACCCAGUGCGGUAGUGUCCUCGAUGACGAGUGAAUCCAAUCCUACGGCAUGGAGGACAAACCACACGUCCUCCAUGCCGCGAACUUCAUCGGGCGCGUUCGCCUCCAUACCGCGAACUUCAUCGGACGCGUUCGCCUCCAUGCCACGAACUUCAUCGGGGCGCGUUCGCCUCCAUGCCGCGAACUUUGGGUGGUUGGAUCUCCCCGCCGCACCAAACCGCACCAAAAGCGGAUCCUAUAUAUUUAUUACUUUAAAUGGGAGGGUGCAAACAAUAGAGUAUUGUUCGUAAUCUUUACACAACUUGAUUAGCCCAGUUGGUCACAAACACUUUAAUUUCUAUUUACUUUUGUACCACGUACCUUAUCAAAAGAAAAGUAUUGUUCGCAAUCUGGUUGAAAAGUGAUGUAGCACAUUCGUUAAUGGCACUAGGAAAGAGGCUAUUUCCUUUAAAUCAAACAUGGACCAAAUCAGACCUACUGUGGAUUCGCAUUUUUGGAAAGCUUUUGUUUCAGAAAGAAACCUAGUGGAUAAAUGUUUGGAUUGUAGAGCGAAUAGUACGAUUAUGUGGAGAUCUGGUAGUCCGAUAAAUAAAUUGGGGGGAAUAGUGGAAAGUAUUAGAGAUAGAAAGCAUAAAGACAUGUUAGCUGAGGGAAUUUAGUCGAAGAUGCCGACAAAAUUCUCUAUUCUCUUGUGGAGGGUGAAAUGGGAUCAUCUAAACACGUUCAGGAAAUUAAGAAAUUGGAGAGUACAAGUACCUCCUGCUUGCUUAUUGUGUAAUCUGGAAGAUGAAACUAGGAGUCAUCUUUUCUUUAACUGUUCUUAUUCCAGAUCUCUCUUAAUUUCGUUGGCGGAACAGCUGGAUUUCGCUUUCUGGAAGAUAAUGAAUAUUCCAAUUCCUACCCAAUCAAGUCCAGAUAUUAGAUUGGGGGAUCUGACGGAAGCAGCACAAAAGAUUACGCGCCACUCCCCCCCUUGGGGGUUAAUAUGGAAUGCUAUUGGGUGCUUGUCGUGGCAUAUAUGGACGGAAAGAAAUAAAAGGUAUAGGCAGCACAUUAGUAGACCUCCUGAGGUAGUCCUUAAGGAGGUCAUUAAAGACAUCAGUCUCUCCUUUGAUUCAGUGUAUUACAAGAAGAGAUGUUGUCACCCUUUGGAGAUAUCUAUGAUGGAAGUAUGGGAGACCAACCUUCUGAGGCAGCGUAUCUAGUUACUGUAUAACUAGACUACAUAGCUAAUGGGAGAGAGUCAAUGAGCAUUUUGCUCAUUUCUUUUUUUACUUCUAUUUUAUUCCUAUUCUCUAUUUUGUAAACUUGGCAUUAGCCUUAUUCUAAUGAAAUUUAAUUGCUUCAAAAAAAAAAAAAAAAAAAAAAAACAUGGACCAAAAGCCUAUUUCCUUUAACAAAGGCCCAUCAUUACAUGGAGAGUAUAUAUAUGGAGGAUAGAGGAUGGAAUCGGCAGUUUUUGAUUUAUUUGCUUAAUUUGUUAUUUCCUGGACAGGUCUUUUCCCUCAGUGUUUUCCCUCAGUCUUUUCCCACACAGUCUUUUCUCUUGUAUUUUCUGGUGGAUUUCCAGAAUCAUUGGUGGAUUCCAGUGUUUUUCCCUCAGCUUAUGUGGAUUCAGAAGAUUUAUCAAACAAUUGAUCUUCACUAAGAUCAGCUGGCAUCAAAAAAUCUUUUUGUGUUUUUGAUGAGGGAGGGAACCUCGCCAGUGUUUUGUAAAUUAGUUUCAUUAGGAUUAGUAUUCAUUUCUUAUCACUUGAUUUUUUUGGGUUGCUUGGUUGUUGUAAUUUGUAAAUACUAUUUAUAUUAUAUCUAAUUGAAAUGUAAAAAUUUAUUAUACUCACUUUGAUUGCUUAAAUGAAUCAGUUUAAUCUAGAAAAAUCCUAGAGUAUCAAGAUAUUGAAAAUGAGAUAUUCAAUCUUAGAAAUCAACCAAAACAUUAUAUAUCUUCUCAAUUAGAAAUCUUCUCAAUUAAAAAUAAUAUUUGAAUUUGGAUCCAUAUUUAAGGGAAAAUCUAUUGUAAUCUAAGAAAGUAAUGACCAAUACACUAUAUAAGCUAAGGAAUAUAUGCAUAUUUUCCUCCAUCAUCUAAUCUAAAUCAUCUUUACAAUCACUGGCCAUCAAAAUGAGAACUGUUACCAGCAAGAUCAUUCUACUUUUUCUGAUGGCAUUCUUUUGCCAUAUUGUUUCUGGGAGAAAUAUUGGAACCAACAACCUACAGAUCAAAGGAUUUCAGGUUUCCUCAGAUGUCGUCGAUCUAGAAGUUUCUGCUAAACCAACUCUAAUUACAUCGUCGACGUCAAAUACUGUCUUACACACUGAAGUUGCCGAUAGAUCAAAUGAUCGCAUUGCCUCUCAUCGAUUCUUAGACGAGGAUAUAUCCAGACUAGUACCGAGUGGAUCAAAUCCAAUACAUAAUGAUGAUCCUCCUAAUGUACUUCUCAAAUAUUAAAUAAAAUGAAAUUACAAUAAGCAGAAUUGAAGAGAAUCAAUUUACAUAUCAGAUAUGAAUAGAUCUUUAUUUAUAUAGGUAUAAAUUUAAAUUUAAAUGAAUAGAAAUGACCAAUCCCUUCCGACAAUCACCAUGUACUUAUAUAGAUCCAAACAAUCAAGACUAAAAGUUUUUUUUUUUUUGAAGCAAUUAAAUUUCAUUAGAAUAAGGCUGAUGCCAAGUUUACAAAAAUAGAGAAUAAAAAUAAAAAUAAAAGUAAAAAGAAAUGAGCAAAAAGUUCAUUGACUCUUUCCCAUUAGUUAUACAGUAACUAGAUACGCUGCCUCAGGAGGUUGGUCUCUCAUACUUCCAUCAUAGAUGUCUCCAAAGGGUGACAACAACUUUUCUUGUAAUACACUGAAUCAAAGGAGAUACUGAUGUCUUUAAUGACCUCCUUAAGGACUACCUUAGGAGGCCUACUAGUGUGCUGUCUAUAUCUCUUAUUUCUCUCCGUCCAUAUAUGCCACGAAGACUGGAAGUAUUGAUUUGGUUUCUUAUGGGUAUGUUUUAUAUUCUUUCCCCUGUUUCCUACCGUGUAUCUAUUAGAGUUAAUCAAAACUUUAAUUGAAAUAAAAUGAAUGACUAAUUUCAUUAACCUUGUAAGGAAGUGAAACAAGAGUAUUUAAAAGAAAAAUACAAACUCCAAGCUUUAACAAAACAAAUGGUUUAACUAGAUUACAACUAACUAAUCUUUAGUAAACCAAUCAAUGUCUAAACCAUUGUAUACCCUGCUUGUAAUGACUUGUUUGGUCUUAAUGUUUUUUCUCUAUCCUUCUUUCUGAUCAUGUAUGCAAUGAUUGCAGAUUUGUGCAGUCGCUGAUUUGGGUUUUGAAUGAAAUUCAAUUUGAUUUAUUCUCUCUUUCAUUUAGUUCAGACAAUCCUACAUGUGAUGUUUUAUCGUGCAAUUCAUCCUCUACCAUCGAUAUUUUAUCGUUCACUUCAUUUUUCGUACUGUUAGUUGUUAAAAUUGUUAUACAUGUUGCAAACUGUUCUUUGUAUAUUAUAACGAUACCAAAAUAAGAAUAAAUUACUACAUACCUAAACGUAGUGUUGGUUUAUAAUUCUCCAACAACCUCAAUUUGGUUGUGCGUCUGGAUAUUUGCAAGUUCUAUAAUUCAAUCUGAUAUAAGAAGAAUAUUUGACAAUCAAUAAAGAAUCAAUGAAACUAGUGCCAUUUUAAAAAAGGAUGUUAAUAUGCUAUCUUUUGAACAAAGACUUUGGUAGAAUUAAAACACACUAAGACAAUGAACAUCGCAAAUUUAAAAGAAUUUAAACAAUUAAAACCUAUCAGUGAUAUAAUAAGGGAUCUUUAUGUAAUUAGUUUUAAUAACUUUUAUAACUACUUUAAGCUAGGAUAUAAUUCUAGAACUUUCUAAGUGGAUAAGACUUAACAGAAACGGUUAUAAUUCUGUUAAGUCUCAAUCCUCCUAAAUUGUAUAUAAAGGAAUGAAUAUCAUUUUAGGAGGGAUCGAACAUUUGUUCUCCUCCAUUUCCUAAUCGCAUUCUGAUUAUAACAACAAUAAAACCGUCACACAGUUUCACACAUAGUUUCAUAUCAUUUGUAAUAUAAAAACGUCUCAGGAGCUACUUGGGAUCUACUCUGCAGCUACUUGGGGACAAGUUAGGUACCAAUGAUAUGACAAGUUAGGUAUCAACUUAACAACUUAAACCAAGGAAUCUCUGGGAUCAUUCUGAGAUAAUCUUAAUGAUAUUAUCAAGAAACAAACCUCAAUGAAAGAGUGGAUACAAGAGAUUGAUGUUGAUUGGGUAGUUCAAUUCCUCAUGGAAUUGAAUGAAGAAUAUAGGACUGUAUGUAGCCAGAUCCUAUAAACUAAGCCUUUUUAAUGCAGUAGAAGAUUCUGCCAUUAUUAAUUACACAAAUAAUGGCAAUAAUAUAUUCUAUGGACAGAAUUGUGAUUAAGGGGAUUUUAAUUGGCUUGACCUUGGUCAAGCCAACCCAUAUUCCUCUUAAGGAAACAUCACACUCACAUCAAAUGGGUUGCCCAUUACCUUUGAUGUGAGUAUAAAUAUAGUGGGCCCAAGAAGGGGAAGAUCAAUUAUCGAAUUAUUGCAAUUACCAAAGGUAAACUCUUUCCUUUCUUCCCUGUUUUUCUCCUUCCUCGUUUUUUCCUGCAAACAGUUUUCUUUCUACUCUAGAUCUAGAACCUUGGUGGAUUCCAAGCUUCUUUCUUUUUUCCCUAAUCGAAGAAGGAUAAACCCUAUUCUUUUUCUCUGUUUUAAUCACUCAGAAUCUUGUCCUACAUCAUUUUUCCAUCUCUGAAUGAAGCAUAUUCCACUGUUGUGACAAAACAGAAGCAAGUUAGAAAUAUCAGUACACGAUUGGGAGAAAAUUCUAACAUAAAUGCUUUAG
rnacentral:lncRNA from 1 species